rnacentral:lncRNA from 1 species
UCUGUCAAUUGCUUGCUAUGUGAAAUUCAAUACACUUGUCUUUACAUAUUUCAUGCUUGGAUAUACUGCACUUAUUUUUUGGUUACUUUGAGAAACAAGGAUUUCUCGGAGAAACAUUUAAAGUGAAAUUUAUAUCAUAUGUUUAUAAAUAUCCCAAGUUCUUGCUAAUACACAAGAAAAAACUUGAUAAACUGCCAUGCCACAUCUUCCUUCUCAGUUUGGAUCGGUCCCGUCUUUUUUGUUUCAGUUGUUUUCAAUUAUCUAGUAUGCUUGCUUUUGUCUGAUCACCAGGUAAAUUUUUUUGCUUAAUCUUAAAUAAUAUGGCCGCAGGUUUUCAGCUUAAGAUUGAUGGAUUUGGCUUCUGAUUCAUUGCACAUUUAUGUUAGGUGGAAAAUGCAAUUAUGGUGAGAGCUCACCUAGCCAUAAUGGUGAUAUUAUGGCAAUGGCAUAUACAAAAAAUAAUUUUUUUAUUUUUUACCUAUGUAAAAGAUAAAUCACCAUUAUGGUAUCAAAAAUCAAUUCCAUGUUUUGUAAAUAAUGCAUUAGCCCUUUCAUGAAGUUUGUCUAUCUAUGAUGAAAAUAGUAACACGUCACAGUUGAAUUUGUAUUAUAAAUACAGAUUUAUGGUAUGGUGUGUUUCACACCUACUCAUGUACAUAAUGGUUUGCCAUACUGCUAUGUAUUGUACUAUACCGUACCAAACUACCAAUACCAAACUGGUAUGCUGUCUCAUAACUUAUCAACACUUGAUAAGUCUUGCUGUCUUAUACCAUACCACAUAUUGAUACUGUAAUAGAAUGGUAGCUAUGCAAGGUUCGGUAUCAAGAUAAUGAACCUUGAUACAAUGUUUGAAAAUCUUAGUAGUGUAUGAGAUGAUAUGUGUCUGAGAGAGAGAGAGAGAGAGAGAGAGAGAGUUUUGACUCAUAGAUGGUUCUCUUCUAUAACUUCUCCUAUGCCUCUCAUCAUUUCUUAAUUAGAUUUAUCAUGUACUCAUGUUAUCCUUGUGUCUGUUAUUUUUUCUUUGCUUGUAUCUUUCUAUUUGACUGAGACUACAAAGUCUCCAAGAAUCAGCUGUGCAGUGGUUGAGGUGGUGAAUUUCUUUUCUUGUAUGUUCCUUCAAUCCUUGUACACAAUAGUUCUUAGUGAAGAUAAUCAUCUCUUUUUUCCUUCUUAAAUGCAAGUAGCUCAGUUGCACCUCUUUAUAUUUUAUGUUCUCAGGGAUUAUUCAUGCACUUGUUUCUAUUCUCUUGUUAAAUUGUUCUUGGGAUGUAGUUGUAUCAUUGAUCCACAAAAGCAAGUGAUUGUGAACAGUUGUAUGGUGUGAAAACCCUUAAAAAAUGGAAGAUUAGUGAAAUGAUACUAGUGUCUAGGCAUAUGCUAGAGCAAUAAUGACAAUGGAAGGGUCAAUUAUGAUUGUUGGGUUCAAAAUAACUUUUGGUUGUAGCAGAGAAGAGCGACAUGCACCUGCCCUCCUACCUUUGUAUAUAUUUACAUAUGAAUCUAUAUGUAUCUUUCAACAUAUAUAUGCAUGCAUGUAUAUUUGUGAUGUAUGUACAUAUGUGCACUUCUAGGACUGUUGUGCCAC